CCCCCCGGCAAACACCUUUCGUAAAGGUGUUCAAACAAGAAAGCACAGACCAGGCAGGUACUUACACUUGUGGAAGCUGGCCAUAACUGGUGGCAAUACAGAUUCUAUGUACAUUCCUUCAUAACAACAAUUAUGGAAAAUUACUGGAAUGUUCCAAGUACUCAAAGGUUUGAACGUGUUUUCCCUUGCUCCGAGGAUCCACAUUUAUCAUUUGCUUUUGGAAUUUGAGGCCUUUUGAGGUGUGCAUAUCAUCCAUUUAUACACUGUUAUUAAUAACUGGCCACAGUUAGACUGAACAAGCUUUGGAGAACACCUCCAUCACCAACUUGGGCAGUGCCACAAAAGAGAGCUGCACUGCACUGAAGAGAAGCAAACCAGCAGAGAAAUCCUUUUGUGCCUUACCUUGUAACGGGAAGAGCAGAUGCCUUCAAACAUAUCUAUAUCCAUACAGUCCAUUGGUUCAGAUCUUCCUGGUAAUAGCAACUCUUCCAGCUUCUUGUUUUCUUAUUUUUAAUGUGCCAGCUGGUGCAACCUGUA